AGAGUUUGAUCAUGGCUCAGAUUGAACGCUGGCGGCAGGCCUAACACAUGCAAGUCGAACGGUAACAGGAAGAAGCUUGCUUCUUUGCUGACGAGUGGCGGACGGGUGAGUAAUGUCUGGGAAACUGCCUGAUGGAGGGGGAUAACUACUGGAAACGGUAGCUAAUACCGCAUAACGUCGCAAGACCAAAGAGGGGGGCCUUCGGGCCUCUUGCCAUCGGAUGUGCCCAGAUGGGAUUAGCUAGUAGGUGGGGUAACGGCUCACCUAGGCGACGAUCCCUAGCUGGUCUGAGAGGAUGACCAGCCACACUGGAACUGAGACACGGUCCAGACUCCUACGGGAGGCAGCAGUGGGGAAUAUUGCACAAUGGGCGCAAGCCUGAUGCAGCCAUGCCGCGUGUAUGAAGAAGGCCUUCGGGUUGUAAAGUACUUUCAGCGGGGAGGAAGGGAGUAAAGUUAAUACCUUUGCUCAUUGACGUUACCCGCAGAAGAAGCACCGGCUAACUCCGUGCCAGCAGCCGCGGUAAUACGGAGGGUGCAAGCGUUAAUCGGAAUUACUGGGCGUAAAGCGCACGCAGGCGGUUUGUUAAGUCAGAUGUGAAAUCCCCGGGCUCAACCUGGGAACUGCAUCUGAUACUGGCAAGCUUGAGUCUCGUAGAGGGGGGUAGAAUUCCAGGUGUAGCGGUGAAAUGCGUAGAGAUCUGGAGGAAUACCGGUGGCGAAGGCGGCCCCCUGGACGAAGACUGACGCUCAGGUGCGAAAGCGUGGGGAGCAAACAGGAUUAGAUACCCUGGUAGUCCACGCCGUAAACGAUGUCGACUUGGAGGUUGUGCCCUUGAGGCGUGGCUUCCGGAGCUAACGCGUUAAGUCGACCGCCUGGGGAGUACGGCCGCAAGGUUAAAACUCAAAUGAAUUGACGGGGGCCCGCACAAGCGGUGGAGCAUGUGGUUUAAUUCGAUGCAACGCGAAGAACCUUACCUGGUCUUGACAUCCACGGAAGUUUUCAGAGAUGAGAAUGUGCCUUCGGGAACCGUGAGACAGGUGCUGCAUGGCUGUCGUCAGCUCGUGUUGUGAAAUGUUGGGUUAAGUCCCGCAACGAGCGCAACCCUUAUCCUUUGUUGCCAGCGGUCCGGCCGGGAACUCAAAGGAGACUGCCAGUGAUAAACUGGAGGAAGGUGGGGAUGACGUCAAGUCAUCAUGGCCCUUACGACCAGGGCUACACACGUGCUACAAUGGCGCAUACAAAGAGAAGCGACCUCGCGAGAGCAAGCGGACCUCAUAAAGUGCGUCGUAGUCCGGAUUGGAGUCUGCAACUCGACUCCAUGAAGUCGGAAUCGCUAGUAAUCGUGGAUCAGAAUGCCACGGUGAAUACGUUCCCGGGCCUUGUACACACCGCCCGUCACACCAUGGGAGUGGGUUGCAAAAGAAGUAGGUAGCUUAACCUUCGGGAGGGCGCUUACCACUUUGUGAUUCAUGACUGGGGUGAAGUCGUAACAAGGUAACCGUAGGGGAACCUGCGGUUGGAUCACCU
rnacentral:rRNA from 2 species